AGUGAAAUUACUAGAUCAUAUGGUAACUCUAUGCUCAAGUUUUUGAGGAACCCCCAAACUGUUCCACAAUGGCUGUACCAUUUUACAAUCCCACCAGUUGU
rnacentral:pre_miRNA from 1 species